AUUGAACGCUGGCGGCAGGCCUAACACAUGCAAGUCGAACGAGUGGCGGACGGGUUAGUAAUGUCUGGGAAACUGCCCGCUGGAGGGGGAUAACUACUGGAAACAGUAGCUAAUACCGCAUACCAUCUAAUUUUACCAGAUGGGAGUGGCUAGUGGUUGGGGUAACGGCUCACCUAGGCGACGAGCCCUAGCUGGUCUGAGAGGAUGACAAGCCACACUGGAACUGAGACACGGUCCAGACUCAUACGGGAGGCAGCAGUGGGGAAUAUUGCACAAGGGGCGAAAGCCUGAUGCAGCCAUGCCGCGUGUAUGAAGAAGGCCUUCGGGUUGUAAAGUACUUUCAGCGAGGAGGCGUUACUCGCAGAAGAAGCACCGGCUAACUCCGUGCCAGCAGCCGCGGUAAUUC
rnacentral:rRNA from 1 species